CCGGCCUGGACCCACUGAGCCGGGUCACUCAGCACAGUGGUCUGAGCCAGGCAUUGACUGUCACGUGUCCCGUGCCACUCUGGGCCACAGAUUUUAGGAAUUAGAGCAUCACCACGAAAGGCUGGAUGUCAGGCUGCCAGAGGUCUCCUAGGGCAGCAUCUCUCUCCAUGAAGCCACCACGUUUCUGAGGUCAUCUACCCCGCCCACUUCCAGCACUGCUUGGACUCAAGAAUGAUGACUCAUGCUAAUCAAGUUCCCAGAAGCCAGAGAUCCAACACUGCCACUGGAGUCAAGUGGCAACUGCAGCUGACAUUCUGUGGACAUGUCUGACCCUGAAUUGUUCUCCUGUACCUGAUGCCAUCAAUAGCAGCCCUCGACAUGGACCCCCUUUAAACAGUCUGCAGAGGGAAGGAAAGAACAAACUUACAGAGAAGCAAUUGUGAGACUGUGCAGGUCCUGAGAGAGAGAAAAGACAGCCUGUAAGCGACUCUGUUAAAUAAAACAUGAUGGAUCACACUCUGCAUUUGCAUGCCAGCUCAAACAGGGAUGGAGCUCUGCUGGAACGGACAGGAUGCCACCCUUGCCGAAACCUGGCAGAAGGGUCAUGGAGGGAGAACCAUUUGUCAUAAAUGAAGAUAAGGACAAUGAUCAAGUCUGAAAGAGAGUUAAUUGAAAAGGAGUAGUGUGCUCUGAUCUGCAGAUUGAGCUCCUUAGGAGGAUUCAGGUAAUCUGCUCUUGGUGUGAAAAUAAACAAAAAUUUCCCAGAUGAGAACAAAUGGAGGCUAUUUACUCAAUCAUCCACUGUCACUUGCAUUUUACAGCAUCUUGAAGACAGAAAGGAAGUGUUGCUACCAGAGUAGCAAGCAGCUGUUUGGCUUCUCCACCAAGAAACACAUGAAAAAGUGAAGUUAAACAUUAGAUGAGUGAAAAUGUUCUGACACUAAGAGCUGCUGGGCUUUGGGGUGGGGGGCUGAAAGAGUCUGAAGAGCCAGAAGCACAGCCUGAAGAACGGGUCUUUUCCCAUUCUUUAACUGCUUUACGGGGGAAGAGAAAACACGUCAUCUGUCUCGUGCUGCAUCCCUCGCAUUGGCGUUACUAAAUGGGCUUAAGGAGCUUCUACUUAGAGAUCAAAGAGAUGGACUACACUGAUGAGCAGGAGGAGAGGGGAUACAAAGUCAGCAAUUAAGAAGGAUUCCUCAGAAACGUGUAAGUGUGACUCCAUUACUUUUAGGAGUCUGUGUUUGAUUGUUUGAUAAAGGAAAACUAAGUCAUGACUUUUUUCUGUAGAUUAGAAGUCUUCUCUAAAUUUUUUGUUGUAGAAAUUGAUAACUAUAUGUAAAACAUGGAUCUACUUUCAAUGUCUAAGCACAUUUUAUUUUUUAUUUUUUUAAACAUUUUUUAUUGAUUUAU